rnacentral:rRNA from 1 species
AUCAUGGCUCAGGACGAACGCUGGCGGCGUGCCUAAUACAUGCAAGUCGAACGCGUCUCCGUUAAUGAUUUUAGGUGCUUGCACUUGAAAGAUUUAACAUUGAGACGAGUGGCGAACUGGUGAGUAACACGUGGGUAACCUGCCCUUGAAGUAGGGGAUAACACUUGGAAACAGGUGCUAAUACCGUAUAACAACCAAAACCACCUGGUUUUGGUUUAAAAGACGGCUUCGGCUGUCACUUUAGGAUGGACCCGCGGCGUAUUAGCUUGUUGGUAAGGUAACGGCUUACCAAGGCGAUGAUACGUAGCCGACCUGAGAGGGUAAUCGGCCACAUUGGGACUGAGACACGGCCCAAACUCCUACGGGAGGCAGCAGUAGGGAAUCUUCCACAAUGGACGAAAGUCUGAUGGAGCAACGCCGCGUGAGUGAUGAAGGGUUUCGGCUCGUAAAACUCUGUUGUUGGAGAAGAACAGGUGUCAGAGUAACUGUUGACAUCUUGACGGUAUCCAACCAGAAAGCCACGGCUAACUACGUGCCAGCAGCCGCGGUAAUACGUAGGUGGCAAGCGUUGUCCGGAUUUAUUGGGCGUAAAGCGAGCGCAGGCGGUUUUUUAGGUCUGAUGUGAAAGCCUUCGGCUUAACCGGAGAAGUGCAUCGGAAACCGGGAGACUUGAGUGCAGAAGAGGACAGUGGAACUCCAUGUGUAGCGGUGAAAUGCGUAGAUAUAUGGAAGAACACCAGUGGCGAAGGCGGCUGUCUGGUCUGUAACUGACGCUGAGGCUCGAAAGCAUGGGUAGCGAACAGGAUUAGAUACC